rnacentral:rRNA from 1 species
GACGGAGGAUGCAAGUGUUAUCCGGAAUCACUGGGCGUAAAGCGUCUGUAGGUGGUUCGAAAAGUCAACUGUUAAAAAUUGAGGCUUAACUUCAAAGAUGCCGUGGAAACUUUCAAACUAGAGUAUGGUAGGGGUAGAUGGAAUUUCCAGUGGAGCGGUGAAAUGCGUAGAUAUUGGAAAGACCACCGAUGGCGAAGGCACUCUACUGGGCCAUUACUGACACUGAUAGACGAAAGCUAGGGGAGCAAAUGGG